rnacentral:lncRNA from 1 species
GGCCAGUGCACCUGUCUGAGCCUGGUGCCCUGGGCAGGACCCUGGAUGUCUAUGUGCUGUGACCACUGCUGCCAAGGCACCCCUGGGAAGCAAGCGCAGGCCGGCGGGCGGGCGCACGGGUGGCGGCACAGCAGUGAGACACCGCUGGGGGCGCCCGCGAUCCCACAGCUGAGCACCGAGGUUUGAGUCCUGGCUCCUCUGCUUCUGCUUGCAGCUUCCUGCCAGUGCAGGCCAGGGAGGCAGUGGUGACGGCUCAGGUGGUUGGAUUCCCGCCACCCUUGUGGGAGACCCGGAUGGAGUUCCUGGCUCCAGCCCCAGUCACUGCAGGCAUUUGGGGAGGGAACCAGUAGGCGGGAACUUGCCGUCUGUCUGUCUCUCUGUCUCUCUGCCUCUCGGAUAAAAUAAACAGCGGAAGUGCAGAAGAGGGGAGAGUGUGGCAGGGUACAGGUGGGGGCAGUUUGCUCUGAAGAUUUCCAGGGGAGACGGCUCUGGGCAGAGGGCGGCAGCCAGAGCAAGAGCCCUGAGGUGGGAUCCGGCGAGGUGGCCUCUCUGCAUCCUCCCAUCACCAAGGCCUUGUCCUCCAAAGGGGCCCCGUGCUCGGAAGCCUGCAGGAGGGUGGGCAGAGAGCUCACGCCGCAUCAGAGAAUCCCUCGCACAGGGCCAGGCUCACCCCAGCGCUCAGUUAACGCUUGCUGACUGGAGACUGCGUCAUUUCCCCCACGGCUCCUGGCUCCAUCCUUUAGAAAAAUCUCCUGGACCUGAUACAAGGAGACGCUGGUUCUGCAGCCCCAAAGCACCGUGGCUGUGCUCCGAGGUUGUUCCGGAAUCGAAUCCUGCCUCCAGUGUCCCCAGUGAGCCCAUCUGUGGGACGGGGAGAGGAACCCAAGCCUUUGAGCAUCUGCCUUCCCAGCUUCCCAAGAGUAGCUGAUCCUGAGGUCCCCAGGCUAGCCCAUCAGCCCCGGCCACCAACAUCCACGCUGAUCCAGAGGUCUCCAGGCUAGUCCAUCAGCCCUGGCCACCAGCUUCCAUGCUGAUCCUGAAGUCCCCAGGCUAGCCCAUCAGCCCUGUCUGGCCACCAGCGUCCAUGCUGAUCCCGAGGCCCCCAGGCUAGCCCAUCAGCCCCGGCUCCAGCGUCCACGGCUUGCUCUACCCUGCCACUCUGUCUUCAUUACCGUGAUGUGACAGUCAUCAUCAUUGCUAACACUUACUGAGCACCUACUGUGUACUGAGCACCUACUGCAUACCUACUGUGUACGGAUUCCCACUAGUAAUCUGGGUUCUCCCUCUCACCUAUCAAUUAGUUCAUUCACUGACUUCCACUAUCUCGGGACGGCAUUUCCACCCCCACCAUUUCCCCGCCCCGGCUCCCUCGCACCUCCCCUUCCUCUGCCUCCGCCCCCUACUCAUAGCCACGGCUGUCUGCUACUGUGGCUAGGACCAACGGCUCUGGCGGCGGAGUAUCUGGAUUCAAAUUCCGGCUCCAGCCUUUCCUAACGAUACGACCCUCGGACAGUUCGUUCCCCUCUCUGCCCUGAUUUCUGCUCCAUAAAAUGGGCAUCAUAAUAGCUCUCACCCCCACGCGCUGACACC